AACGAACGCUGGCGGCAGGCUUAACACAUGCAAGUCGAACGAGAUCUUCGGAUCUAGUGGCAGACGAGUGAGGAACACGUGGGAACAUCCCUUUCAGUUCGGAAUAACGUUGGGAAACUAACGCUAAUACCGGAUACGUCCUUCGGGAGAAAGAUUUAUCGCUGAAAGAUUGGCCCGCGUCUGAUUAGCUAGUUGGUGAGGUAACGGCUCACCAAGGCUACGACCAGUAGCUGAUCGGAGAGGAUGAUCAGCCACAUUGGGACUGAGACACGGCCCAAACUCAUACGGGAGGCAGCAGUGUGGAAUAUUGGACAAUGGGCGCAAGCCUGAUCCAGCCAUGCCGCGUGAGUGAUGACGGCCUUCGGGUUGUAAGGCUCUUUUGUCCGGGAAGAUAAUGACUGUACCGGAAGAAUAAGCCCCGGCAAACUUCGUGCCAGCAGCCGCCGUAA
rnacentral:rRNA from 1 species